rnacentral:rRNA from 1 species
UGGGGAAUUUUGGACAAUGGGGGAAACCCUGAUCCAGCCAUCCCGCGUGUGCGAUGAAGGCCUUCGGGUUGUAAAGCACUUUUGGCAGGAAAGAAACGUCGCGGGUUAAUACCCCGCGGAACUGACGGUACCUGCAGAAUAAGCACCGGCUAACUACGUGCCAGCAGCCGCGGUAAUACGUAGGGUGCAAGCGUUAAUCGGAAUUACUGGGCGUAAAGCGUGCGCAGGCGGUUCGGAAAGAAAGAUGUGAAAUCCCAGAGCUUAACUUUGGAACUGCAUUUUUAACUACCGGGCUAGAGUGUGUCAGAGGGAGGUGGAAUUCCGCGUGUAGCAGUGAAAUGCGUAGAUAUGCGGAGGAACACCGAUGGCGAAGGCAGCCUCCUGGGAUAACACUGACGCUCAUGCACGAAAGCGUGGGGAGCAAACAGGAUUAGAUACCCUGGUAGUCCACGCCCUAAACGAUGUCAACUAGCUGUUGGGGUCUUCGGACCUUGGUAGCGCAGCUAACGCGUGAAGUUGACCGCCUGGGGAGUACGGUCGCAAGAUUAAAACUUAAAUGAAUU